AAUUUUGGACAAUGGGGGCAACCCUGAUCCAGCCAUCCCGCGUGUGCGAUGAAGGNCUNNGGGUUNUNAAGCACUUUUGGCAGNNNNNAAAAGCCACCGAUUAAUACCUGGUGGUUCUUACGGUACCUGCAGAAUAAGCACCGGCUAACUACGUGCCAGCAGCCGCGGUAAUACGUAGGGUGCAAGCGUUAAUCGGAAUUACUGGGCGUAAAGCGUGCGAAGGCGGUUCGGCAAGAAGGAUGUGAAAACCCGGGGCCUAACCUCGGAACUGCAUUCUUAACUGCCGGGCUAGAGUAUGUCAGAGGGGGGUAGAAGUCCACGUGUAGCAGUGAAAUGCGUAGAGAUGUGGAGGAAUACCGAUGGCGAAGGCAGCCCCCUGGGAUGAUACUGACGCUCAUGCACGAAAGCGUGGGGAGCAAACA
rnacentral:rRNA from 1 species